rnacentral:rRNA from 1 species
GACGAACGCUGGCGGCGUGCUUAACACAUGCAAGUCGAACGGAAAGGCCCUGCUUUUGUGGGGUGCUCGAGUGGCGAACGGGUGAGUAACACGUGAGUAACCUGCCCUUGACUUUGGGAUAACUUCAGGAAACUGGGGCUAAUACCGGAUAGGAGCUCCUGCUGCAUGGUGGGGGUUGGAAAGUUUCGGCGGUUGGGGAUGGACUCGCGGCUUAUCAGCUUGUUGGUGGGGUAGUGGCUUACCAAGGCUUUGACGGGUAGCCGGCCUGAGAGGGUGACCGGCCACAUUGGGACUGAGAUACGGCCGAGACUCCUACGGGAGGCAGCAGUGGUGAAUAUUGCACAAUGGGCGGAAGCCUGAUGCAGCAACGCCGCGUGCGGGAUGACGGCCUUCGGGUUGUAAACCGCUUUCGCCUGUGACGAAGCGUGAGUGACGGUAAUGGGUAAAGAAGCACCGGCUAACUACGUG